AUCCAGAUGACGGCUCCCAAACAGAACAAAACGUGCGUCCUGGAU
rnacentral:hammerhead_ribozyme from 1 species